CCGUGCUUCAUUUUUAGCUAAGCUGUAUCUGAAUUUUACAGCUUUUUUUUUGGUCUGUUUUCUAAUAAAUCUUUCUGUCAAGCCAAUGUUAGGACACUGGAAAGCUAAGUGUGAUUGGGAAGACUAAAUAUUAUCAUCCAGAUAACAAGUUAGGGAGUAACUAUUAUUAACACUAACAGUAUUAACGAUCUUAUGCCUCCAAAUGUGUGAGGGCAUUACCCCUAAGGAGGGGAGAAAUGGUGAGCAGCUGAGGACAGAAACUUCUUAACCCCAUGUAGAUAAAGCUAGAACACAAUGUCUGCUGAUGCAUGUCACCUGUUCUGAAAUACCUUUUGUGUAUUGAGUUCUUCAGCAGAACUGCUGUCGUGGCUGUGCCGCCCCCAGGAAUGGCUCCUGCAACCAAAAAAAAUUCUCAAACCUUUAAAUAGACAUACUGGACUAAUUAAUUUCAGAUCAUGUGUAUGAUACAUGGCUGUAUAAUGGGAAAAAAUAUUGUGGAAGGAAGGCAGUGCUGAACCAGCUGCUGCAUCUACAGGCAUAAAACUCGAGAGCUUUCUUACCCCUCAGCCAAAGGAGAAGCUUGUAUUAACAGAAAGAGAAAAGGGGAGAUAAUAAAAGCUAAAAGCCCAUUUUUGAAGACUCAGGAUAUGUAGCCAUUGAAUCUGUUUUUAAAGAAGAUAUUCAGUAUUGUCUUUCCUAAUAUGAAUGAAAAUUUUGGAUGGUAUCUUCAUGGCACAUUACAGUUCCAGAAAAUAUAUAUCAUUCUGUGAAACCUGGGGUACAGGCAGUAAGUACAGCUUGGACAGGAGUCCUGAAAUAUCAGCUGCAGAAGAGGAGUGUUGUGCACAACAUUUAUUUUCCUGGAAAAUUACUGUCAGAGAAUUCCAUUCCUGAAGUCAAAAGUUCUACUGGAGAAAUUGUGCUUGGAGAAGGAAAUCAUAGUCACUGUCUGGUUACUUGGAAUAGAAGAGAUUUGGAAGAGAUUGGAAGAGAUCUGGAAGAAGGUCAUGCAGAUAUACUUUUAAUUACAAGCAUAUUUUUUGAUUAUCAAGCUUUUUUGCAGUCUAUGCACUUUAUCUGAAAUAUAUAGCAUGAUUUCCAACCCAUUUUACUUUACAUGUCAUUUAUGUUUUCAUUACAGUGGAUGUACGCGUACAUGCCAUACAGAGCAUAAACAUAGUCUGUUGUCCUUAUACAUUGUCUUUGCAAAUAAUCACAGCAAAAAAAAUCACUAAAUUAUUUCUCUUUGAAAUCCAGAAAUUCUUUCAAAAACACAUGAUCACAUUCACCUACCAACAAGAAAAUCUUUUACAGAAUCUACAUGGCAGCUGAUUUAAAGAAAAACAGAACAACUGAAAGUUUGUGUAUGCAUAUCAAGAGCCCAAAAGAUAUAUACUCUCCCAUACUUACACACCCACGUAUGCUGAUACAUCUAAAUAGCUUUGUUUUGAAGUUUGAAUCAGAUUUAAAUGGAAAGUUAUUGAAGAGAACUGUGUGGUCUGAAUUUUAAUCCCUGAACCCACUGGCUUCUUUUUUAUUGCAUGUGGUGUGGCCUUGAAUUGCAGAAUGUUUUAAACAUACAUAAUGAGCUCAAUGUCAAACUGUUGAGCCUUUUGUCUUUAACAAUAAGCACUUAGCUCAACUAAAUGAAUAGAAAUUGCUUUAGUGAAUUACAAAAGCCAAGGUUUUACACUGCACUAAUACUGACAUUAAUUAAUGUAGACAUUGUCAUAUUUUAAAAUAUAUGGGAUUAAAAUCAAUGGUUAAAAAGUGCAACAGACAUCAGUAAACAACACAAAUUUUAACAGUCAAAGAUGCUGCAUAAUAGUAUUUCUUCCACAAUGAGUAAUGCUUUUUUUCUGAUUCAUUUGCAUUUAUAUAGGCUACAUUUAGAACAUAUAUGGUACUGGUUGAAUGGCAAGAAUCUGAAAGAAAGAAUGUAAACAGUAUGUGUAAUUUCUCUAAUUUGGAAAGAGAUUAGAUCUCUAAUUCAUAGCAGACACUUUCUCCUUCCAUAUUUUGUGAAGGGCACUUGCAGCAGGAUAACUUUUUUAAUGUUGGAAAAGAAGAGAUCUUAUUUUCUUUCCCCAAAAUCAGGAGGAGUAUUCAGAAAUUUACAGUAAAUGGCAAUUCAUCCUUUAGAAAUUCCUUCAACCUACUAUUAGAGUUGCUGCCAGAGAUCUGAAUGCUUUUGCCUAAAUCUCUGUAAUCCAAUAAGCUUUUGUGUUUAGCAGCUUGUUUUGAAACUUGUAUAGCACCCCAGCCUGUGUCUCUGUAUGUUCCUUUGCAGGCAGGUGAGUGCCCCAGGGCCUGAUUAUUAUUCAAGCCAGGAGGCCUUCACAGCCCCAACCAGAAUGUAAUUUGUAAUUAACUGUCAUUUACUUCUGUCUGCACUGACUUGUUGUUCAAAAGACAGUGUAUUUGAGCUGGUCACUAGCUUCUCUUUGUUGUGGAUAUGAUGUCUUUCAGAUCUAGUUUUAUUCAUAAUGUUUAGAAAACCAAGUACUUGCACUCUUGAAACCAAAGCAGGAAGGGGAUUUUACUGACUUUUCCUAAAUAAAUUAGGUAUAUGCAAUUAUGAAUACUUAGAU
ensembl:lncRNA